rnacentral:rRNA from 1 species
CACCGCGGUUAUACGAGAGGCCCAAGCUGACAGUUACCGGCGUAAAGAGUGGUUAAUAGCCCUACAAUACUAAAGCCGAACAUCUCCAAAGUUGUACAACACAUUCGAAGACCUGAAGAUCAACCACGAAAGUGACUUUACAUUAUUUGAACCCACGAAAGCUAGGGAA